UGCCAGCCGCCGCGGUAAUACGGAGGGUGCAAGCGUUGUUCGGAAUUACUGGGCGUAAAGCGCGUGUAGGCGGCUUGAUCAGUCGGAUGUGAAAGCCCUCGGCUCAACCGGGGAAGUGCAUUCGAUACUGUCAAGCUUGAGUACCGGAGAGGAACGGGGAAUUCCCGGUGUAGAGGUGAAAUUCGUAGAUAUCGGGAGGAACACCGGCGGCGAAGGCGCCGUUCUGGACGGAUACUGACGCUGAGACGCGAAAGCGUGGGGAGCAAACAGGAUUAGAUA
rnacentral:rRNA from 1 species